GCAGUGGUGAGGGAGUCUCCUGAGCUUGCAAGGUAAAGUGAAGGGUGUGGGGCUGGGAGGAGGCAGCCUGCAUGCCCCAGGCAGGGACAAGUAGAGGGACACCUGCCCCAAAGGAACAGCAAAGGAGCUGUGGGGAUGCGCAUGCUGCCUAAACCCAGCCUAGCCUAGACCAGUCCAGUCCAGCCGCAUGUGUCACAGAAGAAGCUUUGCAGGAGAAAACAGGGUUCCUGGAUCAUCUAAGCCAAGGACCUGGCAAGAGACGCCAGGCUCAAGGGAACAAGCAGAGACAAUGACAUCAGAGCUGUGACAUCACUGCCUAAUCUCCAAUCAGAGAAGGGACACCCAGGACUUCAUCUCUUAGGGGACCAGAACUCUAAGCAGGGAGACACCUGCCCAGUUCUGCUCCACCUGCCAUGGGCUCCAGGCUCCUGUGCUGUGUGGCCCUUUGUCUCCUGGGAGCAGGCCCAGUGGAUCCCGGAGUACCUCAAAUACCAAGACACCUGAUUAAAACAAGAGGGCAGCAAAUGACAAUGAGGUGUUCACCCAUCUCUGGGCACAACAGUAUAUCUUGGUACCAACAGGCCCUGGGCCAGGGCCCCCAGUUCCUCGUUCAGUAUUACGAUGGGGAAGAGAAUGAUAAAAGAAAUAUCCCGGAUCGAUUCUCAGGGCAACAGUUCAGUAACUAUAGCUCUGAGCUGAAUGUGAGCAUCUUGCAGCUGAUGGACUCACCCCUGUAUCUCUGUGCCAGCAGCGUGACACAGCCCUGCAGAGUCACCAAUGUUCUGUGCACAAACCUCCCUGCCCCAACGUGGAGCAACGUUAGAGCUGACAGAUCUAUGAGAACCUCAAGUCUGCAGUGGGAAAGAGAAAUGACUUAGGGCCCUGGAAAUUGCAGCCUCGGGCUCUUCUGCCACUCAGGGACAUGGGACAACAGGGAACAAGAAGAUUUGUUCAGAGAAUGGU